CCUACGGGUGGCAGCAGUGAGGAAUAUUGAUCAAUGGGCGAGAGUCUGAACCAGCCAAGUCGCGUGAAGGAUGAAGGAUCUAUGGUUUGUAAACUUCUUUUAUAUGGGAAUAAAGUGAGGAACGUGUUCCUUUUUGUAUGUACCAUAUGAAUAAGCAUCGGCUAACUCCGUGCCAGCAGCCGCGGUAAUACGGAGGAUGCGAGCGUUAUCCGGAUUUAUUGGGUUUAAAGGGUGCGUAGGUGGUUAAUUAAGUCAGCGGUGAAAGUUUGUGGCUCAACCAUAAAAUUGCCGUUGAAACUGGUUGACUUGAGUAUAUUUGAGGUAGGCGGAAUGCGUGGUGUAGCGGUGAAAUGCAUAGAUAUCACGCAGAACUCCAAUUGCGAAGGCAGCUUACUAAACUAUAACGGACACUGAAGCACGAAAGCGUGGGGAUCAAACAGGAUUAGAUACCCCAGUAGUC
rnacentral:rRNA from 1 species